rnacentral:lncRNA from 1 species
CGAAGUUAAGGACCUCUUCGCUACACAGUGGUCAGCUUUUCAUGUGAUAUAUCGUUACUUGCCUCCAAUGAAGCGUCUUAUUGAGCGGACCAUCACGGAUUUUAGCGGGCUGCUAAUGUAUUGUUCUUAACCCCACGGUGCCUGAUGAUGCCAGCCCACAAGCUAACGCAGCUAAGAAGGAUUUGUCUGCGAACCUUCAGUUCAAGGCAGGAGUAAGCAGCAAAAAAGCGUGAUGUAUUGUGGUUCGAGGCUUUUGCUCCACAUUAUACAUGUAACUCGAUUUGGCCGUCCGACGCUCGCUCGUCAGCCCGCCAAGUGUGUUAUCCGCUACUGACUACUAUCAUAUCUAUUUAAAUUCUAACUCGAAAGCUUCGGAAUCAAGGGAACUCAAAGACAUACCCUAUGUCAUAUUUGAGUACAACGUGUUUUGCACUGCAUGACGAAGUCAGACACCAUUGGUUGGGUCCUGUGGAGGGAUGUAUGCUCCGCCAAGUUUCGUGCCUGGGGAACAAUACUUCAGUGUCGACUAGCGCGAGUGUUUAGAGCGCAAAGUAUCUGGCUGAUAAAGCCAGGCGUGGCUGGUCUAUCCCCACGAUACGAGAACGUCAGGGCUCACCUUGCUAUUCUGUUGAACAGAAAAACCCGGAUUCAGCUAAGAAUCAAUCAAUGAUCCUCUACGCUCAUAAACACAACUUACAUAAGGCUAAAUUAGCAAUUUUGCUUCCAUAAGGUACAACUUUUUACUCAUGGUAAGCACGAAUGCAAUUUCAGCCAUCAUUUGCACAGUCGUAGUAUGACAACAUUACCUAACUGCAGUUUAUGGCCAGACCUGUCCUACGCGGUGAAGAAGAAGAAGAAGAAGCCGACUUCACUAUAGCCCAAUUCGGAGGCCGCCAUAGAGGUAGCAAAGAUCGCUGCGUACCUAUCAUCUGAAUGACAGAGGCAGACCCCUAAAUAAAGCCAAAGACCUCGUCGUAGACAACACGCAAGCAUCUACACAGUGACCCCGGCAGGGCUGGUGCCCUCGAACGGAUAGGAAGACGCACCGACAAACUACGAGCAUAUACUUCUUGGCAACAUAUUUUGAUCCUUCAUUCGGCAGUUUCAGCGCUGCCAUAUGCAGUAGCAACAGAAAAAGUAGCGUUAGAACGACUGCAGCUUUGGCUGCCGACGGUUGUUCGCUAAACAUCUGCUGGCUCUCUUUCUUCUUUCCAUAACAAGCGGAAAGAGAGCUGUGCGUUUCUCGAAACAUCGGAACGUUGAUCCUCUAGUAACAGCAACAACGACAACUCUAGUUCAAUGCCAGCAGGAAGGCAGGGAAAGCCGGUCCUAGUUGGGUACCAAAAAGGUCGCCCGUUCCGCUUUAGAAAGCGACUGCUUCGAUACUUUGUGCAGCAGGUUCAUUUGAUAGUUCUCUCGAUAGAACAUUUAAGAGCUUAAAUACGCCACAUAGAUACGAUGUGCACCUACGCGGGCUUCUUGUUGUUAACUGGCUGGAUAGUUUGUCUACAAGUGGCUGUACGAACGGCCGGCACCCUAAAGUACAAAUGUACAAUGUUUGCGCCAGUCGUCGCUGUCAUGCGUUUAGCUCGCGUGGGACAUCUGCUAUCCGACUUUUUUUUUAUCUAUGACGUACAUACGUAGACAUUGAGUAACGAAAUAUUGCCUCGCCGCAUUGCGCAAUAGAUAGGGUCCCUUUGUUCCGUUGAAUAUUGCCGGAACAGAGGCCGUUUUUUUACAUCAUUUAAAGUAAUUAGAUGAUGUUACAGUACUACACAGAACAGAUCCUUAUUAGACGAACUUAUGAAAAUAGACUAAAUCUAUUAUAUUUGCUUAGCUAAGCCUCUUUGCACAAACAGCAUUUAAGCGUAAAAAAAAACACGACGAAUGGACCACUGUUGGACAAUUUAUGUUAUUAAGUAGAGUUGUUUAGCAAUACCUUGAGCUCUUCAUAAUCAUCAUGUUGUUGGCAUUUACGAUAAGGUUAUCCCAGUGAACCCAGAUCGAAUAGAAAUUAUUCACACGUAACUGGGCAUUGAAUGUAUACGCUCUUGGGUUGUAUACCGACCAAGUUGGGUUUAGACGAAAGAUUAUCGCAUACGCCUUCCGGUAACAAAUCCCGCAACGCUUCUGUUUUUCGUCGACUGUAGAAACACUCGCAAUGCGUAUAAAUAAACGGGCUAAUUACGUAUUUUGAAUUCACUGACGAAAGUUAUUCUUGGUCAUUUUUGAGGUAGCAGGGUCGUUAGCGAUUGUCUGGAUAGGCUCAAGCUGUGUGUUACUGAAUUACUCUUACCCAAGUGACUAUAGCAAGAUGUUUUCGCAUUGAAAUGCUCGCGUGUAAAGUAGAAGAAAAUACACAUGACUUAAAUUCAAAUUCGAGUGUAAAAACCCUGAGCCUGCCGAAGAAAAUUAAACGCGAUACAAAAAACGGCAAGCAUUUUUUUCCUUCUCGAUCCUUUCAGAUUGUUCGUUGUAAGUCCCUCACUCUGGCAGGUAUUCGAUGCUAAAACUGCAGUGUUAUCGCUUGGCGUAGCAGCGACAGUUAGUAGUCAAUUACGGAAAUAGAUUUUUAAUUACACCCCGACCUGGACAACAGGUGUCAAACUAACCCUGGCUGUAAAUUGUCCACAUCACGUUUCGUAAC